GACGAACGCUGGCGGCGUGCUUAACACAUGCAAGUCGAACGGAAAGGCCCUGCUUUUGUGGGGUGCUCGAGUGGCGAACGGGUGAGUAACACGUGAGUAACCUGCCCUUGACUUUGGGAUAACUUCAGGAAACAGGGGCGAAUACCGGAUAGGAGCUCCUGCUGCAUGGGGGGGGUUGGAAAGUUUCGGCGGUUGGGGCUGGACUCGCGGCUUAUCAGCUUGUUGGUGGGGUAGUGGCUUUCAAAGGCUUUGACGGGUAGCCGGCAUGAGAGGGUGGACAGGCACAAUGGGACUGAGAUACGGACCAGUAUCGUACCGGAGGCAGUAGUGGAGAACCUUGCGCAACAGGCGCACGUCUGAGACGGAAAUGCUGCGUGCGUGAUGCUCGGUUACGGGGGAAGAACAGAUUUCGCAGUUGACGAGGAGUGCUUGACGGUACUUGGUAAGAAAGCCACGGCUAACUACGUG
rnacentral:rRNA from 1 species